GCCUCUUGGUCGAGCGGUUAAGACACCGCCCUUUCACGGCGGUAACACGGGUUCGAACCCUCUAAGGCGCA
rnacentral:tRNA from 1 species